GAAUCCAAAGGAAUAUUUCUCUCUCUAGCUGAACUUAGUAGCUGUGUGCAAGCUGAAGGAAAAGUUUAUUUCCUCCUUGCAAUUGCCUUGAGUAUUCAAUUACCAGCCUGCAGGUCUGCAAAGGGGUUUUGAUCAAGUCCUUUCAACCCCUACAGUUCUGUGAUUCUGUGAUUCUGUGAUCUCAUAGAGAAGUUCAUAAAUGAAACCAAAUAAGAUCUAUUGGGCUAAAUUGUCAUCUAAGGUAUUAGUAAGAUUUAUUAUAAUGUAUGUCCAAUGAAAGGAUUAAUUGCCCAUGGGCAAUUAACUUACUACUAGUAAGUUGCACAGCACAAGGCUGUCUAAUCAUAGUAAUUCUCUCAACUACUAAGACUGAACAUUACUCCCUCUGCAUUCCUUCUUACAGGCUGAGGCAUAGCAAUGCUUUGUACUUCUCCAGACUUCACCAAUUCUUUUGUGACCAUGACUACAUACCACAGAAGCAACAAGGCCAUUCUUGUACACAAGUGUUUAAAUUAAACUGGAUGUGUCAGAAAAACAAACAAACAAUUCUAUGUGUGACAUUUUAUGACUUUCUACCAGUUUUGUUAUGCAGGAAAUAGAUUUCAUUAUAUUAAUGCCCGUCAGUCCUAAGAUUUCUGACAGAUGGUAUCUUUUCAAAUUCUUUUCGGAUUUCCCAAUCAUGCUAAGUUUCUUUUUUUUUUUUUUUAUUUUUUCCCUUUUUUUUAAAAUCCUUUUAAAAGGUCCAAUUUACAAACAAUAAACAAAUAACUAGUCUUUUCCA
rnacentral:lncRNA from 1 species